UCAAGGUGCAAACAUGAUGAUACCUUAUGCUCUUCUUCUGCUGUUGUUCAUAAAAAGUGACACAUUGGCACAGUCAAUAACACCACAGGAAAACAAGACACUUGCAACUGUGGGGCAAAAAGUCACCCUGUCCUGCAAAUAUGAAGGAAGUAUAAAUAACCUGCACUGGUAUCGCCAAUAUCCCAGAUCCAAACCAGAGUUCCUGGCUUGGAUUUACCCACAAGGUACUACAAGUGACCCACUUCCUCCCCGAAUUAUACCAAGAGUGGACAAAAAUCUUGUGAGUCUGGAGAUCUCUGAUGCUGAAGUAACAGAUUCUGCUCUGUACUACUGCGCACUGACGCCCACAAUGACAGGAAACUCAACUACAGUUUUUUCUGACUAUGGACGUACAGAUUAUCUUCACUGGUAUCGUCAGUAUGGAAGAUCAAAACCUGAAUUUCUUGUACUCACCUACAGUAGUGCAAAAGGAGCUAAAGAGUCUGAUGUAGAUCCAAGAUUCACUGUUAACAUUACAGAAAGGGAACGUGUGGAUCUGAUCAUCUCUGAUCAUCUCUGA